rnacentral:tRNA from 1 species
GGCUCCAUAGUGUAGUGGUUAGCACGUCUGCUUUACACGCAGAAGGUCCCUGGGUUCGCGCCCCAGGUGGAGCCA